CCUACGGGUGGCUGCAGUGGGGAAUAUUGGACAAUGGGCGAAAGCCUGAUCCAGCCAUGCCGCGUGUGUGAAGAAGGCCUUCGGGUUGUAAAGCACUUUCAGUGGGGAAGAAAGCCUUGGGGCUAAUACCCUCGAGGAAGGACAUCACCCACAGAAGAAGCACCGGCUAACUCCGUGCCAGCAGCCGCGGUAAUACGGAGGGUGCGAGCGUUAAUCGGAAUUACUGGGCGUAAAGCGCGCGUAGGCGGUCUGAUAAGCCGGUUGUGAAAGCCCCGGGCUCAACCUGGGAACGGCAUCCGGAACUGUCAGGCUAGAGUGCAGGAGAGGAAGGUAGAAUUCCCUGUGUAGCGGUGAAAUGCGUAGAGAUCGGGAGGAAUACCAGUGGCGAAGGCGGCCUUCUGGACUGACACUGACGCUGAGGUGCGAAAGCGUGGGUAGCAAACAGGAUUAGAUACCCGGGUAGUC
rnacentral:rRNA from 1 species